rnacentral:rRNA from 1 species
GACGAACGCUGGCGGCGUGCUUAACACAUGCAAGUCGAGCGGUAAGGCCCUUUCGGGGGUACACGAGCGGCGAACGGGUGAGUAACACGUGGGUGACCUGCCCUCAGCUCUGGGAUAAGCCUGGGAAACCGGGUCUAAUACUGGAUAUGACUCCAUGACGCAUGUUGUGGGGUGGAAAGCCUUGUGCGGCUGAGGAUGGGCCCGCGGCCUAUCAGCUUGUUGGUGGGGUGANGGCCUACCAAGGCGACGACGGGUAGCCGGCCCGAGAGGGCGACCGGCCACACUGGGACUGAGACACGGCCCAGACUCCUACGGGAGGCAGCAGUGGGAAUCUUGCGCAAUGGGCGAAAGCCUGACGCAGCGACGCCGCGUGAGGGAUGACGGCCU